GACAGAGUGGGUGGUUUUCUUCAUUUUCCUUAUUGCUUGCACAGGCUGCAACUGCUUUUUCAGCAAAAUUACAAAGCAGGAGGGUUUGACCGACACACUUGUGGGGUGAGUCUGAGGCAUCUCCUCACUGGUAUUGUGAAGCAAGGAUGACCUGAAUGAAAGCUGUCCCAGCCUGUACCAUCUGGGGUAAGGGCUGCUAACAGGACGCAUGCUGCUUGUGACAUCUGGUUUGUGUUACAACUAUGCAGUACACCACAAGAAGCUUGCUGUACUCAAACUGUUAUUUCUAGACAAGAACCAAAACUAACACCCGGGUUCCGAGUUUGCUGUUUGCAUUUCAGCCUUGCUGCUUGGCUGCCUCCUUCGUCACUCCACUCCAGAA